AUAUAUAUAUUUUUGAAGUCUGAAAUUUAAGCCGUUAAUAAAAAAAUAAAGCACAAACACGUAACGUUUCUGUUAACGUUUCCAGCCAACAGCGGGUGACGUCACGCGAAUGGUAGUCUCCUAUUCUAAUGCUGUUAUGAUAGUAGUGAAUUAAACAUUUGGGACUUGCGUGGCUGAUUAUGAGCUUAUUUGCUUAACCCAAAUGAAGCAAGAAUACGUGUUUGGGUGGGACAGAACAAAUAUGAGGCAUGAAGGCAGACAAGACAUCCCAUCACAUGAACCACAGAUGAGCAGUAGGCCUACUUCAGAAUAGAGUGAUGGAAGAAAAGGAUGGAGAAGGCGAGGCCAUGCCAACCACUUUCUAUGUGCAGCCACAGGACUCCACGAUCAUGUCGGGCACGUCGGUCUUGACUAUGCUGUGCUGGGAGUUGAAGUAGACCAUGGAGAGGG